rnacentral:rRNA from 1 species
UACGUAGGGUGCGAGCGUUGUCCGGAAUUAUUGGGCGUAAAGAGCUCGUAGGCGGUUUGUCGCGUUGUUCGUGAAAACUCACAGCUUAACUGUGGGCGUGCGGGCGAUACGGGCAGACUGGAGUACUGCAGGGGAGACUGGAAUUCCUGGUGUAGCGGUGGAAUGCGCAGAUAUCAGGAGGAACACCGGUGGCGAAGGCGGGUCUCUGGGCAGUAACUGACGCUGAGGAGCGAAAGCGUGGGGAGCGAACAGG